CCUACGGGAGGCAGCAGUGAGGAAUAUUGGUCAAUGGGCGCUAGCCUGAACCAGCCAAGUAGCGUGAAGGAUGACUGCCCUCUGGUUUGUAAGCUUCUUUUGUGUGGGGGUAAAGUGCAGUGUGUAUACUGCUUUGCAUGUACCUUAUGAAUAAGGCUCGGCUAACUCCGUGCCAGCAGCCGCGGUAAUACGGAGGAUCCGAUCGUUAUCCGGAUUUAUUGGGUUUAAAGGGAGCGUAGGCGGGUUGUUAAGUCAGAUGUGAAAGUUUGGGGCUCAACCGUAAAAUUGCAGUUGAUACUGGCAUCCUUGAGUACAGUAGAGGUAGGUGGAAUUCGUGGUGUAGCGGUGAAAUGCGUAGAUAUCAGGAAGAACACCGAUUGCGAAGGCAGCCUGCUGGACUGUAACUGACGCUGAGGCUCGAAAGUGUGGGUAUCAAACAGGAUUAGAUACCCUUGUAGUC
rnacentral:rRNA from 1 species